AAACCUUCUCGGCCUUUUGGCUAAGAUCAAGUGUAGUAUCUGUUCUAAUCAGUGUGAAAACUGGUUUUCCUCAUUUUUGAGGAUCUUUUUCACAUUCAAUUUUGGACAUUCUUUGUUUUUCUAGCUUGCUAGGAAUUCAGAGCACGGACUCCGGGGCUUUCACCACUACCCCCCGCGAGGCCAACUACCU
rnacentral:snRNA from 1 species